rnacentral:rRNA from 1 species
AUUGAACGCUGGCGGCAGGCCUAACACAUGCAAGUCGAGCGGAUGAAGGGAGCUUGCUCCUGGAUUCAGCGGCGGACGGGUGAGUAAUGCCUAGGAAUCUGCCUGGUAGUGGGGGAUAACGUCCGGAAACGGGCGCUAAUACCGCAUACGUCCUGAGGGAGAAAGUGGGGGAUCUUCGGACCUCACGCUAUCAGAUGAGCCUAGGUCGGAUUAGCUAGUUGGUGGGGUAAAGGCCUACCAAGGCGACGAUCCGUAACUGGUCUGAGAGGAUGAUCAGUCACACUGGAACUGAGACACGGUCCAGACUACUACGGGAGGCAGCAGUGGGGAAUAUUGGACAAUGGGCGAAAGCCUGAUCCAGCCAUGCCGCGUGUGUGAAGGAGGUCUUCGGAUUGUAAAGCACUUUAAGUUGGGAGGAAGGGCAGUAAGUUAAUACCUUGCUGUUUUGACGUUACCAACAGAAUAAGCACCGGCUAACUUCGUG